AAUAUUGCACAAUGGGCGCAAGCCUGAUCCAGCCAUGCCGCGUGAGAGAUGAAGGCCCUAGGGUUGUCAAGCUCUGUCACCGGUGAAGAUAAUGACGGUCACCGGAGAAGAAGCCCCGGCUAACUUCGUGCCAGCCGCCGCGGUAAUACGAAGGGGGCUAGCGUUGUUCGGAUUUACUGGGCGUAAAGCGCACGUAUGCGGAUUGGUCAGUUAGGGGUGAAAUCCCGGGGAUUAACCCUGAAAGUGCCUUUAAUACUGCCAGUCUUGAGUAUUGAAGAGGUGAGUGGAAUUGCGAGUGUAGAGGAGAAAUUCGUAGAUAUUCGCAGGAACACCAGUGGCGAGGGCGGCUCACUGGUCCAUUACUGACGCUGAGGUGCGGAAGCGUGGGGAGCAAACA
rnacentral:rRNA from 1 species